rnacentral:misc_RNA from 1 species
GGUGAAUGACCCUUGUCGGAUGAGGAGAUAAUACUCGGUAUUGCUUAAAAGACUGUGAAAGUCUUCAAGAUGUGUGGGGACGAGUAAGCCCUAAGGAUUGAUAAGACGAUUGCGAAUUGUUAAUAGACUGUGGAAGUCUUUCGACAUAUGGGGUGUGCUAUCCCCAAGAGUUGCGAAAUUGUUGGCUUAUCUCUCCUAUGAGAUGGUGUCUUACCCUAGUUGGGGUAAGAGUUGGCAUUCGGGAGCUACUUGUUGGCUAUGAAAGCCUUCAAAAUACCGUAAUGUAUUUUGUGCGGGUAAAGAGAUGGAAAAUUCGAGAUAUCUUAUUGGUUGUGAAAACCUUCGGAAUUAUGGGUUGGAAUACCCUAAUCGGUAUGGAGACGGUUGUUUUCUCCUUAGAGAAGGCCAUUGCGGUUGGCUGCUAUAACCUUCAAAUGAAGGAUGAGAAAUGUAUUGAAUCCCUUGAAAUAUGAAUGUUGCUAUCCUAUGGAUAAC